GAUGAACGCUGGCGGCGUGCCUAAUACAUGCGAGUCGAGCGAACAGAUAAGGAGCUUGCUCCUUUGACGUUAGCGGCGGACGGGUGAGUAACACGUGGGUAACCUAUCUAUAAGACUGGAAUAACUCCGGGAAACCGGGGCUAAUGCCGGAUAACAUGUUGAACCGCAUGGUUCUACAGUGAAAGGCGGCUUUGCUGUCACUUAUAGAUGGACCCGCGCCGUAUUAGCUAGUUGGUGAGGUAACGGCUCACCAAGGCAACGAUACGUAGCCGACCUGAGAGGGUGAUCGGCCACACUGGAACUGAGACACGGUCCAGACUCCUACGGGAGGCAGCAGUAGGGAAUCUUCCGCAAUGGGCGAAAGCCUGACGGAGCAACGCCGCGUGAGUGAUGAAGGUCUUCGGAUCGUAAAACUCUGUUAUUAGGGAAGAACAAAUGCGUAAGUAACUGUGCGCGUCUUGACGGUACCUAAUCAGAAAGCCACGGCUAACUACGUG
rnacentral:rRNA from 1 species